CCAAGAGAAGUGACUAAAAGGGGCAUCUUUUUACACAUAUUUUGUGCAUGACCUCCUGCAGGGCAAAAUGUCAACGAGGUGGAAACAGCUGUUGAUCUUUUCCACAAACCAACAGGAAUUCGCAUCUUUUAUUCUGAAUAAAGGAUACAACUUCUGCAAGCAAAACUCAGGUGUGAGAUGAAAGUAAGUGAGCAGCAUUAGUCAAUAAGGAACCAAUGAAAAUUACAGGCAUGUGCUGCUAUGAACUCCAGGAAGAACUCGCCGAGUCUAUAGGUGCUUCUUCCAGCUGGCCGAUUUGCAAAAUCUUCCCUGAUUGCGUAUACCCUCAAGAAGUUGAAAUAGGAGAAAACCCCGUCUAGGAAGUGCUACUGAGCAAUAUGGGGAAACAACAAUCGCUGCCGCCUAUGAUAUUUUCACGCAUAGGAUUUUCUAAUAUCAACUUUUUAAAGACGGA
rnacentral:misc_RNA from 1 species